GACGAACGCUGGCGGCGUGCCUAAUACAUGCAAGUAGAACGCACAGUUUAUACCGUAGCUUGCUACACCAUAGACUGUGAGUUGCGAACGGGUGAGUAACGCGUAGGUAACCUGCCUGGUAGCGGGGGAUAACUAUUGGAAACGAUAGCUAAUACCGCAUAAUAUUGAUUAUUGCAUGAUAAUUGAUUGAAAGAUGCUAUUGCAUCACUACCAGAUGGACCUGCGUUGUAUUAGCUAGUAGGUGAAGUAACGGCUCACCUAGGCGACGAUACAUAGCCGACCUGAGAGGGUGAUCGGCCACACUGGGACUGAGACACGGCCCAGACUCCUACGGGAGGCAGCAGUAGGGAAUCUUCGGCAAUGGACGAAAGUCUGACCGAGCAACGCCGCGUGAGUGAAGAAGGUUUUCGGAUCGUAAAGCUCUGUUGUAAGAGAAGAACGGGUGUGAGAGUGGAAAGUUCACACUGUGACGGUAUCUUACCAGAAAGGGACGGCUAACUACGUG
rnacentral:rRNA from 1 species